CUGUUACCUUGGAGACAGGAGACCUGGUUAGCUACCGCGAUCUUGCAGUGAUGUCGCCACAGCAACGAGAUGUGGCGAAGCCAGUAAAUAUCCUAAAAGACUUGGGCUCAAAAAGGCUGGGAGCUGACAGUUCCUUAGAAGAACCCAAUAGUGGCAAAUCAGCUUGUGAUUAUGACAUUUGAGGCGCAGGGGUGGGGGAAACCAACGGACCGUGGGGGUUCUUUUUGUUUUGUUUUUUCCUGCUGCAGGGUUUCCAACUUGGGAUUUUCUCUAGGGAUGAGGUAGGAAAGAAACAAGUCACAGGUCAGAGGUUGAGGGAAUGAACGUGGACUAAAUGGGUUGGGUGUCUGAGAUUUGGGUAGGUGUCCCUCAGCGUUCCCAUUUAUGUAACCGUUAGUGGUGAAGUCCUUGAAGGUACUGAUUGGGUGGAGUGGUUCCACCUCUGGCCACUAGAGGGCAGUAGAGCCCAGUCUCCGAGAGAAGAGCCGGGCUCGAAAGCUCAAAGAGGAUGUGGACACACAAGAUCAGAGGAGCAACCAGGAAAAUAAAUUGCAUGAGGCCAGGGCUUGAGAGAUCCUUUUAUUGGACAUGAGCUAGAAAGUAUCUGAGAGAAGCCUGACAGUGGUGGCACACGCCUUUGAUCCCAGAACUUGGGAGGCAGAGUCAGCUGCUUCUGGAACUGAGAGGGAAACCAGCUCAGGAAGACUUCAAGGCUCCCUCCUUACCUUUCUUUGCUCUGGCUUCCUGAACCCUCGCUGCUACAUCUUCUGCUGCUACUGUGACCACUCAGAAGACUGAUUUCCAGGAGAGUUCCUAGCCUCAUCCUGUGCCAGCCAGGGCCUAUUCCAGCCGCCUUCUGAAAGUGUUAGCCCAUCCAUAAACACAGGGUAAAAUAAUAAAGGCUUUUGUCUCUCAA